UGACUCCCCGCCCCCGAUUCCUCUCCCAUCUCACUCGCUCGAAUCGUUCUGCCUUCCACGUUCUGGCGACUGCCCGUCGCCCCUUCUCUGGCAGCUGCAGCUUCCAAAUCGCCGAAAAACUGAGGCCGCUUGCCCUCUAGCUUCUCCCGUCGUCCUCCCUGCGACGCAUGGACCGCGAGCUGCUCAAGCCCUUGGCGUCCGUCGCACUGCACCACCACUCCAACGCGCUCGUCGAUGUGCUGCCGCCCGAGGCGGGCUCCAGCAUCUCCCUGCUCGGGUCGUCAGGGAAGCCCAACAUCACCUAUACUGUUUCUGCUGGAAUUUCUCUGAUCCGCAUGAAGCCCUUGUUGAUUUGAUGUGCUAUGGAUCUGCUAAUAGAUCUUUUGUUGGAUGAUUUGCUGUCAGGGAUUGGUUAAAACUUGGAUGGACCUGUGGAGUUUGUGCAUUUUGGGCUGAUUUCUUGUGGAACUUUGGGGCUUUUGUUGUGAUUGGUAUCAUUCAAGUCCUCAUGAUUUGUGGUUCAGCUAAAGAAUAUGUGAAAUGUCAGGAAAUGGCCAUACGAUGUGUUGGAUGUGUGCUUCUAUGAAGGAUGUAAUAUUUGUACUUAUACACAUGCAGUUGAUGCUUGCUGUUGCUUUAUCGUCAGAGUUCGAAUGACUGAACUGAGCAGAACUGUAUUGCGUAAUCUACUAAUUCAACUACUGAAGUGCAAAACAUCAUAUCAAUGUAUGCCUGGCAAGUUGCAACGUUCCAAGUAUGAUGGUGGUUCUUCUGUCAAGUCGGCUGAUUCUUGUAAGCAUUGGCAUGAGAGUGACUGCUUUGUCGAUCAUGUCAUGUGACCUUAAAGCAAUUUCUUGAAGACUCAUAUGUUGUGACCCUGAUGCAAUUUCUUGAAGACUCGGGACAAUGAUGUCGAUAUGUUUGCUCAUUGCAAUGGAUAUACUUUCAGGAUGUCUCAUGAGUAGCAGAUAUACCUCCUGCUUCUGUAUGAUUAGCCCCUCUUUCAGUGCAAGUGUGAAAAUACAAUGCUAUGUAAUAUUCGAGUAUCUACGAACGAUGUAAUAUUUGUAAUCGAUUUAUUUUGUGGUCACUUAUAUU